GUAACGCGUGGGAAUCUACCCAUCUCUACUGAACAACUCCGGGAAACUGGAGCUGAUAUAGUAUACGUCCUUCUGGAGAAAGAUUUAUCUUAGAUGGAUGAGCCCGCGUUGGAUUAUCUAGUUGGUGGGGUAAUGGCCUACCAAGGCGACAAUCCAUAUCUGGUCUGAGAGGAUGAUCAGCCACACUGGGACUGAGACACGGCCCACACUCCUACGGGAGGCAGCAGUGGGGAAUAUUGGACAAUGGGCGCAAGCCUGAUCCAGCCAUGCCGCGUGAGUGAUGAAAGCCCUAUGGUUGUAAAGCUCUUUCUACGGUGAAGAUAAUGACAGUAACCGUAGAAGAAGCCCCGGCUAACUUCGUGCCAGCAGCCGCGGUAAUACGAAGGGGGCUAGCGUUGUUCUGAAUUACU
rnacentral:rRNA from 1 species